UUAUGCCUGGGCUUUUAUGGUUUCGAUUAAUAUGCAACCGCUAUUAAGACCACAGCCUCAUGGCAGACGCCAAAAGGUGUUUCUUUUGUUGUUUUAGGAGCUAUCAAAAUUGACACUAACGUUUUAGACUAAUUUACACAGGCACUUUCCACUUAAGUGGGCGUUUUCUUUCUUUAUUUUUGUGAAGAAUUCAAUACAGAAGCCACAUAGCAUUUUAGAUUUGGCUGGUUUUUUGGUAUCCACUCUUUGUGCGGUCUGGUGCAAAAAUUCCAUUGGUUUUUAUUAGUUUUGCAUUUUUCAUCACGAUAACUCCUCGGAAGACAUAAUUUAUCCAUGUGUGUAUUGGGGUGAGUUGAAAACAUAUGUAUGUGUUAAGAUGGAGUCCAAGAAGUGCUAGGAUAGAAUGCAAGAAGUGCUAAGAUGGAAAAGAAGAAAUUGAACAAGUAAGAGCGUUCUAAGUUCGGCCGGGCCGAAUCUUAUAUACCAUCCACCAUGCAUCGCAUUUGCCGAGUUCUAUGCGCGGUAUCUCUUUUUUGAGGCAAACAAAGAAUAUUGAAUAAGAACUGUUAUGUUAUUGGAGCUAUAUCAAGUUAUGGUCCCAUUUGGUACAUAAAUGAAUGCC